UCAGGACGAACGCUGGCGGUAGUGCUUUAAAACAGCAAGUCGAACGAUGAACCUGGAGCUUGCUCUAGGGGAUUAGUGGCGAACGGGUGAGUAACACGUGAGUAACCUGCCCUUGACUCUGGGAUAACCUCCGGAAACGGAAGCUAAUACCGGAUAUGACGCACGGAGGCAUCUCCUGUGCGUGGAAAGAAUUUCGGUCAAGGAUGGACUCGCGGCCUAUCAGGUAGUUGGUGAGGUAACGGCUCACCAAGCUUACGACGGGUAGCCGGCUUGAGAGGGUGACCGGCCACACUGGGACUGAGACACGGCCCAGACUCCUACGGGAGGCAGCAGUGGGGAAUAUUGCACAAUGGGCGAAAGCCUGAUGCAGCAACGCCGCCUGAGGGACGACGGCCUUCGGGUUGUAAACCUCUUUUAGUAGGGAAGAAGCGAAAGUGACGGUACUUGCAGAAAAAGCACCGGCUAAUUACGUGCCAGCAGCCGCGGUAAUAAGUAGGGUGCGAGCGUUGUCCGUAAUUAUUGGGCGUAAAGAGCUCGUAGGCGGUCUGUUGCGUAUUCUGUGAAAUCCUGAGGCUCAUCCUCGGCCCUGCAGCGGGUACGGGCAGAAUUGAGUGCGGUAGGGGAGAUUGGAAUUCCUGGUGUAGCGGUGGAAUGAGCAGAUAUCAGGAGGAACACCGACGGCGAAGGCAGAUCUUUGGGCCGUAACUGACGCUGAGGAGGGAAAGCGUGGGGAGCGAACAGGAUUAGAUACCCUGGUAGUCCUCCCCGUAAACGUUGGGCGAAAGAUGUGGGGACCAUUCCACGGUCUCCGUGUGGCAGCUAACGCAUUAAG
rnacentral:rRNA from 1 species